rnacentral:rRNA from 1 species
GCCUAAGGUAUGCAAGUCGAAUGCCGAUUUAUCGGCAUGGCAGACGGCUGAGUAACACAUGGGAAUCUACCUCAAACUCGAGAAUAGCCCAUCGAAAGGUGGUGUAAUACUCGAUAGUUCCGUUUACGGUAAAGCUCCGGCGGUUUGAGAUGAGCCCAUGUCCUAUCAGGUUGUUGGUGGGGUAAUUGCCUACCAAGCCUAUGACGGGUAGCUGGUUUGAGAGGAUGAUCAGCCAGACUGGGACUGCGAUACGGCCCAGACUCCUACGGGAGGCAGCAACUAGGAAUCAUGCGCAAUGGACGAAAGUCUGACGCUGCGACGUCGCGUGAGGGAUGAAGGUCUUAGGAUCGUAAACCUCUUUUAUCUGGGAACAAGUUCUGAGUGUACCAGAUGAAUAAGUGCCUGCCAACCACGUGCCAGAAGCAUCGGUAAUGCGUGGGGCACGAGCGUUAUCCGGAUUUACUGGGCGUAAAGAGAUGCGUAGGCGCCUUUUUAAGUCACUUGUAAAAUCUCCCCGCUCAACGGGGAAACUGCAAGUGGUACUGAAUUGGUUGAGUCAAGUAGAGGAGAGGGGAAUUCCUGGUGGAGCGGUUAAAUGCGUUGAUAUCAGGAGGAAUACCAAGUGCGAAGGCACCUCUCUGGACUUGUACUGACGCUAAGGCUCGAAAGUGUGGGGAGCAAAACGGAUUAGAUACCCGUGUAGUCCACACUGUAAACGAUCCCUGCUAGAUGUUUGC